UACGUAGGGGGCAAGCGUUGUCCGGAUUCAUUGGGCGUAAAGAGCGUGUAGGCGGCCAGGUAGGUCGGUUGUGAAAACUGGAGGCUCAACCUUCAGAGGUCGACCGAAACCAUCUGGCUAGAGUCCGGGAGAGGAGAGUGGAAUUCCUGGUGUAGCGGUGAAAUGCGCAGAUAUCGAGAGGAACACCUGCGGCGAAGGCGGGUUGCUGGGCUGACACUGACGCUGAGGCGCGAAAGCCAGGGGAGCGAACGGG
rnacentral:rRNA from 1 species